ACGAACGCUGGCGGCGUGCCUAACACAUGCAAGUCGUACGCGAAAGGGGGCAACCCCGAGUAGAGUGGCGCACGGGUGAGUAACGCGUGGGUAAUCUACCCUCGAGCGGGGGAUAACGUUCCGAAAGGAACGCUAAUACCGCAUAACCCGAUAGGAACCUAGGUUCCGGUCGGCAAAGAUGGCCUCUGCUUGCAAGCUAUCACUUGAGGAGGAGCCCGCGCCCCAUUAGGUAGUUGGUGAGGUAAUGGCUCACCAAGCCUGCGAUGGGUAGCCGGCCUGAGAGGGUGGCCGGCCACACUGGCACUGAGAUACGGGCCAGACUCCUACGGGAGGCAGCAGUGAGGAAUUUUGGGCAAUGGGCGAAAGCCUGACCCAGCGACGCCGCGUGGGCGAUGAAGGUCUUCGGAUCGUAAAGCCCUGUGAGUUGGGAAGAAGCCGUUAGGUGCCAAUACCACCUAGCGGUGACAGUACCAACAGAGGAAGCCCCGGCUAACUACGUGCCAGCAGCCGCGGUAAAACGUAGGGGGCAAGCGUUGUUCGGAAUUACUGGGCGUAAAGCGCGUGUAGGCGGCUAGGUAAGUCGGAAGUGAAAGCCCUCGGCUCAACCGAGGAACUGCUUUCGAUACUGCUUAGCUUGAAUGCGGGAGGGGAGAGCGGAAUUCCCGGUGUAGCGGUGAAAUGCGUAGAUAUCGGGAAGAACACCGGUGGCGAAGGCGGCUCUCUGGACCGUGAUUGACGCUGAGACGCGAAAGCGUGGGUAGCAAACAGGAUUAGAUACCCUGGUAGUCCACGCCCUAAACGAUGGGUACUUGGCGUGGGGAGUCUAAAUCUCCCCGUGCCGGAGCUAACGCAUU
rnacentral:rRNA from 1 species